CAGUCGCCGCGGUAAAACGUAGGUAGCAAGCGUUGUCCGGAAUUAUUGGGCGUAAAGCGCGCGCAGGUGGUUUAAUAAGUCUGAUGUGAAAGCCCACGGCUCAACCGUGGAGGGUCAUUGGAAACUGUUAAACUUGAGUGCAGGAGAGAAAAGUGGAAUUCCUAGUGUAGCGGUGAAAUGCGUAGAGAUUAGGAGGAACACCAGUGGCGAAGGCGGCUUUUUGGCCUGUAACUGACACUGAGGCGCGAAAGCGUGGGGAGCAAACAGGAUUAGAUACCCCAGUAGUCCCUGUCUCUUAUAC
rnacentral:rRNA from 1 species